rnacentral:rRNA from 1 species
AAGACCUUGCGCUUUUGGAGCGGCCGAUGCCUGAUUAGCUUGUUGGUAAGGUAAAAGCUUACCAAGGCUUCGAUCAGUAGCUGGUCCGAGAGGACGACCAGCCACACUGGGACUGAGACACGGCCCAGACCCCUACGGGAGGCAGCAGUGGGGAAUUUUGGACAAUGGGCGCAAGCCUGAUCCAGCCAUGCCGCGUGAGUGAAGAAGGCCUUCGGGUUGUAAAGCUCUUUCAGCCGGGAAGAAAAGGUUGCGAUUAAUAAUCGCAAUUUAUGACGGUACCGGAAGAAGAAGCACCGGCUAACUACGUGCCAGCAGCCGCGGUAAUACGUAGGGUGCGAGCGUUAAUCGGAAUUACUGGGCGUAAAGGGUGCGCAGGCGGUUUUGUAAGUCAGAUGUGAAAUCCCCGGGCUUAACCUGGGAACU